AAAAUGAAGGAUAAAAAAGUGAGAAGUAGAAUGCAAUGUCUCAAAGCAGGAUGUGAUUGUGAUGAAUACACAAAAGAGAAAGGUUUUGAUUUGUGUGCCUAUUGUGAUCAUGCACCAGUUUUACAUAAAGUGGAAGACAAUUUGAAUCUUGUUGAAGAUAUGAGUUAGCUCAUUUCUCUUAGAGCAAUGCAAUACUAAAAUACUAAACACGUUAUCCACCGCUCUCGGUAUGUCAAUCGUGUUAUUUGAACCCCAAAACUGUAAGAAAGAAAACGGAUAUGCUAACUUUGAAUCAGCUACUUUGAGCCAAAGUGAAAUAGACUUCAGUUUGGACAAUAACAAGGUAACAAGCCCAUUCAAGAAUCAGUGUAUACAACAAGCUAAGCCAUUUCAAGAUACAGCUGGUAAAAUAGUUUUUGCAUCAAAAAUUGUACUUCAUCAUAAAAACAAUACUCUCUUUGGGGUUUGAAAUAUUUUUCUUUAUAAUGUUUAACUAUUUUUAUAAAUUCUGUUAAAGAAAAUAUUAUAAUACUUAAUUUGCAUUAUUGAUAACAUAUCAUUUGUAUCAUAAGUAUGAUGAUUUUAAUUAUAAAUUAUAUUUUGUUUAGUAACACUUAAAUAUUAUUUAUAAAUUUAAUAGAAUGGUUUAGACCCCAUCCUGAAUUCUUGCACAGAUGGGAUUAUUGUGUUAAGUGCUUUAAAUCUAACCUUUAGUUUACGCAGCAAGUUGGCUAGAAUAGCAGUCAACCAUAUUAUUCAAAAGAAAGGAUUGCAUUAACCAUGGACUGAAGUGUGCCAUAAAUGGAAAUCAACUUCAAAAUUUAGGUUGAAAUGUUUUCAUCUGGCACCAAAGACAUUCCAAAUUUUAAACUUCUUUUGGAUCUAAAAGCAGAUGCAUUGGUAAAUAUCGAUUUUACUCAAUUGAGUAUGCAAAAGAAUUAUGAGCAUUGUAGCAACUUUAUGUUUCAAAAAAUUCCACUACAUGCAAAAAAAUUGAUAGGCUUAGUUGCCAAGAAAUAUUCCAUGCAAGAUGUUUAGUGUUUUAUUUUUAAUAAAAGUUUAUUAAUUAGCAUAUAUAGUAUGAUUAGCAUAAUAUGAUUAGCAUACAUAUAACACAGUAGCAUAAUAUGAUAAGCAUACAUAUAUCAAUGACAGCUUAGUCGGCAAUCUGACAGACGGACAGUUUUUAAGAUGGCGGAAAAUUACCUAUGUUCAUACACCUAACUGACAAUGGAAAAAACAUAUUUAUACAUUCAUGUGUAUUAUAUAUGUAUAUAUCAGGGAUUAUCUUUUUCCAGAUAUUCCCGGAAUUCCGGAUAUUUUUCAAGAUUAGUUUUUCCGGAUAUCCAAAAGGUUUUCUAUACAUACAAGUUUAAGUAUAUAUUUGUGUAAUAUAUUUGAUUUUUAAGGCUUUUUAGUCACUCAUACAAAAAUUAAAGAAAUUCUCAAAAAAAUUGAGAUACAACUCAGCUAAAAGAAAAUUAAGAGGAAAACAAGGGGAAAAAAAAUCCAGAUAUUUUCCGGAUAUUUUAAGCAAAUAAUUUUCUGGAUUUUUUAAAUACGACCUGGAUAUAUAAUACAGGGGUAGAAGAUGAGACAGCUGCUCUUUUGGCUAUUGUGCGAUUGACAUGCUGCAAAUGUUCCAUCCAUUUAUGCAAAGAAGCAAAGAGAAAAUCCUGGACUCCUAGUGUUAAAGAAUGUGGCGAAUCAUUUCUUUUUCUGCCAAUGUAAAUUAAAUAUAAAUAAAAUACAAAAGUUUUUAUUCACUAGUUAUUAUUUAAAGACACUAAAAUUUAUUAAAUAUAAAAAUUAUUAUAAUAACUAAGUUGUU
rnacentral:misc_RNA from 1 species